AGCAACAAAUGCCCUGCUUCCAGGAAAAGCCUCUAAGCAUCAGGUAACAUCAAAUCGUACCCCAAACCGACACAGGUGGUCAGGUAGAGAAUACCAAGGCGCUUGAGAGAACUCGGGUGAAGGAACUAGGCAAAAUGGUGCCGUAACUUCGGGAGAAGGCACGCUGACACGUAGGUGAAGUGAUUUACUCAUGGAGCUGAAGUCAGUCGAAGAUACCAGCUGGCUGCAACUGUUUAUUAAAAACACAGCACUGUGCAAACACGAAAGUGGACGUAUACGGUGUGACGCCUGCCCGGUGCCGGAAGGUUAAUUGAUGGGGUCAGCGCAAGCGAAGCUCCUGAUCGAAGCCCCGGUAAACGGCGGCCGUAACUAUAACGGUCCUAAGGUAGCGAAAUUCCUUGUCGGGUAAGUUCCGACCUGCACGAAUGGCGUAAUGAUGGCCAGGCUGUCUCCACCCGAGACUCAGUGAAAUUGAACUCGCUGUGAAGAUGCAGUGUACCCGCGGCAAGACGGAAAGACCCCGUGAACCUUUACUAUAGCUUGACACUGAACAUUGAGCCUUGAUGUGUAGGAUAGGUGGGAGGCUUUGAAGUGUGGACGCCAGUCUGCAUGGAGCCGACCUUGAAAUACCACCCUUUAAUGUUUGAUGUUCUAACGUGGACCCGUGAUCCGGGUUGCGGACAGUGUCUGGUGGGUAGUUUGACUGGGGCGGUCUCCUCCUAAAGAGUAACGGAGGAGCACGAAGGUUGGCUAAUCCUGGUCGGACAUCAGGAGGUUAGUGCAAUGGCAUAAGCCAGCUUGACUGCGAGCGUGACGGCGCGAGCAGGUGCGAAAGCAGGUCAUAGUGAUCCGGUGGUUCUGAAUGGAAGGGCCAUCGCUCAACGGAUAAAAGGUACUCCGGGGAUAACAGGCUGAUACCGCCCAAGAGUUCAUAUCGACGGCGGUGUUUGGCACCUCGAUGUCGGCUCAUCACAUCCUGGGGCUGAAGUAGGUCCCAAGGGUAUGGCUGUUCGCCAUUUAAAGUGGUACGCGAGCUGGGUUUAGAACGUCGUGAGACAGUUCGGUCCCUAUCUGCCGUGGGCGCUGGAGAACUGAGGGGGGCUGCUCCUAGUACGAGAGGACCGGAGUGGACGCAUCACUGGUGUUCGGGUUGUCAUGCCAAUGGCACUGCCCGGUAGCUAAAUGCGGAAGAGAUAAGUGCUGAAAGCAUCUAAGCACGAAACUUGCCCCGAGAUGAGUUCUCCCUGAGACUUUAGGUCUCCUGAAGGAACGUUGAAGACGACGACGUUGAUAGGCCGGGUGUGUAAGCGCAGCGAUGCGUUGAGCUAACCGGUACUAAUGAACCGUGAGGCUUAACCUUACAAC
rnacentral:rRNA from 1 species